CGGCGGACGGGUGAGUAACGCGUGGGUAACCUGCCUCAUACAGGGGGAUAACAGUUGGAAACGGCUGCUAAUACCGCAUAAGCGCACAGUACCGCAUGGUACGGUGUGAAAAACUCCGGUGGUAUAAGAUGGACCCGCGUUGGAUUAGCUUGUUGGUGGGGUAACGGCCCACCAAGGCGACGAUCCAUAGCCGGCCUGAGAGGGUGAACGGCCACAUUGGGACUGAGACACGGCCCAG
rnacentral:rRNA from 1 species